rnacentral:rRNA from 1 species
AUACGUAGGGUGCGAGCGUUAAUCGGAAUUACUGGGCGUAAAGCGUGCGCAGGCGGUUUUGUAAGACAGAGGUGAAAUCCCCGGGCUCAACCUGGGAACUGCCUUUGUGACUGCAAGGCUAGAGUACGGCAGAGGGGGAUGGAAUUCCGCGUGUAGCAGUGAAAUGCGUAGAUAUGCGGAGGAACACCGAUGGCGAAGGCAAUCCCCUGGGCCUGUACUGACGCUCAUGCACGAAAGCGUGGGGAGCAAACAGGAUUAGAUACCCUAGUAGUCC